GCUGAGCCAAUAAAGCGACUUUUCGUUGUAGGCCCUGUUAAGGGCUUUUACGCAACGGUUAUCUUUUUUUUUUGGCAAGCUUUGUCUUCCUAUUCCUUUGUAUUGUACUCCCUCCCGUCCCCCCUCAAGAAUGCAAUUCUAGAAUGUCAUGUUUUAGUAUAUCAAGUUUAUCAAUUAUAGAUAAAAAGUAUAAAUAUUUAGAACAUAAAAUAAAUAUUAUUAGAUUAAAUAUGAAAUGUAUUUUUAUAGUAAAUUGAUUUGGAAUCAUAAAUAUAAAUAUUAUUUAUUAGAAAUUUGGUCA
rnacentral:lncRNA from 1 species